rnacentral:rRNA from 1 species
ACGUAGGGAGCAAGCGUUGUCCGGAUUUAUUGGGCGUAAAGAGCUCGUAGGCGGUUUGGUAAGUCAGAUGUGAAAACUCAGGGCUCAACCCUGAGAGGCCAUCUGAUACUGCCAUGACUAGAGUCCGGUAGAGGAGUGUGGAAUUUCUGGUGUAGCGGUGAAAUGCGCAGAUAUCAGAAGGAACACCAACGGCGAAGGCAGCACUCUGGGCCGGUACUGACGCUGAGGAGCGAAAGCGUGGGGAGCAAACAGG